rnacentral:lncRNA from 1 species
UAAAAAUGGACAUAGGUCUUCGUAUUAGAUAAAGAUUUUGAUAAUGGAUUGAAACAAUUCACAUGAAAAUUACGCCAUUCCACAUUCAUAAUAAUGGCUAAAGAUACAUAUAAAUAUUAUACUAAUAACAAGACAAUAAAAAUACACAUGCACUAAAGAUUACAGACACUCCAUAGUGGACUUCACGUAGCCAAUUAUCCUAAAAUAAUGGUACAAUAUAAAAGGAAUCUUAAAAUAAUUGUCCAAAUGUCUUUUGGAGCAAGUGCCACAUUCUCAUAAUAGAAGUGUGGUGGCACACACACAAUAGCCCGUCCAGGCAAAAGAUCUAUCCACUGAGCAUGGCCCACGGAGGCAAGCCAAAACCAACCAAAAGCCGCUAGAUCUACGUCAGUGAAUAGAUCUUUGCCUGAAGAGGAUAUUGGGCCAACAUACUUCUAUUAUGAGAAUUAGGCUCCAAAAGGCGUUUGGAUAAUUAUUUCAAAAUUCUUUUAUGAUAUUCAGCCCGAGUUUGUGGACUCAAAGCUCUUCUAUUCUAUCAUUAUUUUCUGGUACUGGAGGAGCGGAAGUGACUCUCCAUAGACUUCAGAGAAGAUUGAAUUAUGUGUAGAGAAUAGCGUAAGCAUGUUCUGUUAACUGGGAUUGAAGGAUCAGAGGUGGUACACCUAUUGCCGGUCCAUCUGCAUCGUAUUACAUGGAAAAUGAACAUAAGAUUUCAUAUAGGAUUAUUGUUUAUAAUUUUUAGUUCUUACAUUAAACAUGAGGUAAAUAAAUUGUUCGUCAAAGAAAUACAAUUAUUAAUUGUUAAAUUAUAGUGACAUGAAAAAAUGAACCAAUGACCAAAUUCUAUUUUCUUACACCUACAAUUUAUUUACCUUAAUUUUAUUGCAAUGACUAAAUAUUAAAAACAUAUUUACUCUAAUUUUUUUCUCAUACAUAAUAUUAAAAUCCUCUUCAUUCUUCCUCACAUUCUAGCUCAAAAUCCUCUCCAUUUUAUCCUUCACAUUCUCCAACACAUCAAGUUGUUUUAACUAAUAUGAAUAACAAGCAAACUAUCCAUCACAUUCUAGCUCAAAAAUAUGUAUAAAUAAAAAUCCUCUCCAUUCUCCCUCAUUCUAAAAAACCCAUUUUUCUCCCUCUCUAAAUUAUAAAAUAAAGCAUAAUUACAAUAAAUGAAAGGAGGAUGAAGUAGCUAACCUUCACAAUACUUUGGAUCAGUGAAAUCCCCACGGAAAUGAGAAAAAAAAUUCAGGCAGCACCUCCCUAGAGUUGUUGUGUCGCCAUGGAGAGAGGAGGAUGAAGCUUUCUGGUGGAGUGGAGUGGCUCGGGCUGGAGGAGAAAGAAGAAGUCUCUGUCUUGCGAUUGUAUAGGGUAGGAGAUUUUGUCCUGGUUGGAAAUUCUAACCGGGACAAAAAUAAACCCCUUUUGUCCGGUUGGUAGUUUAC